AGUGAACGCUGGCGGUAGGCCUAACACAUGCAAGUCGAACGGCAGCACAGUAAGAGCUUGCCUUUACGGGUGGCGAGUGGCGGACGGGUGAGGAAUACAUCGGAAUCUACUUUUUCGUGGGGGAUAACGUAGGGAAACAUACGCUAAUACCGCAUACGACCUACGGGUGAAAGCAGGGGAUCUUCGGACCUUGCGCGAUUGAAUGAGCCGAUGUCGGAUUAGCUAGUUGGCGGGGUAAAGGCCCACCGAGGCGACGAUCCGUAGCUGGUCUGAGAGGAUGAUCAGCCACACUGGAACUGAGACUCGGUCCAGACUCCUACGGGAGGCAGCAGUGGGGAAUAUUGGACAAUGGGCGCAAGCCUGAUCCAGCCAUACCGCGUGAGUGAAGAAGGCCUUCGGGUUGUAAAGCCCUUUUGUUGGGAAAGAAAAGCAGCAGGUUAAUACCCCGCUGUUCUGACGGUACCCAAAGAAUAAGCACCGGCUAACUUCGUG
rnacentral:rRNA from 1 species